rnacentral:lncRNA from 1 species
GGAAACGAAUGAUAAACACAUGAUAAUGCAAGUCAUAUUUUCACUGUUUCAAUGGCAGAUUGGAAAAUAUCAAAAAGUUUGACAGAACAGUACUGGCAAAAGUGUACGGAGAAUCAGCGUGGUCAUGCAAAAUUGAUGGGACUUAAAUCACUGUGCCUUCUUUGAGGGGCAAUUUGGUGACAUCUAUUAAAAUAGCUAUCUUUUGACUCUGUAAUUCCACUCCUAAGCAUUUAUUUUAUAGGUAUUCUUGUAGUGUGCACAAGGAUACUCACAGAAGCAGUGUUUUUAAGGAAAAGUCUGAAAAUAGCCUGAAUGUCCAUCAACAAGGAACCAGUUAGAUCAAUGAUGAUCCAUUCACACAUGGAGCCCUAUCGUAGCACAAUAAUAGUUUUGAAAUAUCACCCAAUAUACUUCCCUUCUUGCUAAUUUUUUCCUCUUUUUUCUUGUCCUUUUUCCUCUCCUGCCCCUGGGCCAUUCAGGGGAAGCCUGGCGGCCCAGGCUUGUGACAGGUCCUUGUAUUUCCUUGGGGAGGAACAGUGCUCUAGUCAGGCACACAGGAGUCAACACACAGCACCAGCCUCAAGCAUUUACUCAGUCUGGGGUGUUAGGCACAGGAAAACUAGCAACAUCCUUCCUCUAGCCAAGGACCUUGUAAUCUUGUUAGAGAGACAAGAAUCUGGGCUCUUAAACAAUCAACGUCCUGUAUAAGGGACAAAAAGGGAAGACACAGGGAACAAAUAAAAGCCAUUUCCUUUUUGAGAACUUUCUUACCUCCAGAACACAAGGAAGUGGGCUUUGGCAAUGAUCUCGGCAGAAACCUCAGCCACAGACCACUGGGCGAUCAAGAAUGCUGCUGUGGCUUCCUGGGGACCCACAGCGCCUGUCCACAUGGAUCAAAUAACUCAAAUGUUCUAAGUCACAGGCAGUGGACGGAGUUCCUUGGAAUACUCACAAGGCCUCAGUCGUUACAGGAGCUGGAUCCUCUCCAGUGGAAGAGACAUUUUUUGUGGACCAGAGACCUGAGAGAGAAGCAGAAAGAAGUGUUCAGCAACGUGCUGGGGGCCCGCAUCCUAGGGAUGAAUCAUGCCAGUGAUUGGUUUGGGGUGGCCAUGUGACCCAGAUCCAGGAUCCAGAAACUUCGAAGGAGUUGCAGGCCUUGGUGUUCAAGAAGUAGCCCGUCAGCGUGCCCAUUUUGUAAAUGAAGUAACGGAGGUUGAGUGGCAUUGGGGCGGGCCUCCACCAGACCCACGGCUCUCACCGCAGGGCUCUGUGGGUCUUUCUUCCUGUGCACAGUAGUUCCAGAGCGCAGUAUCAUUCCUGGGAGGACUGAGAAUUCUCAUACUACUUCCUUCUCGGAACAGAAGUACAAUAAGGGGAAGUGGGAUGUUGACAAUUAGCUGGUCACGUGAACUUGCCAAGACAGAUACAACAAGGCACUGGCUGGGGCUCUGGGACAACCACAGAAGAGGCUGAGAAGAUAGGGCCCCAUUUGGUCUCCACGAAAUAUCCAGAGGGCUCUUUUACAAUGUAAAUCUCAUCAUGUCACUCUCCUGCUCAAGAACCUUCCAUGGACUUCCAUUGCUCUGAAAUUAAAAUCCAAACUCCUUAGCAGGACCUACAAACCCUCACUGGAUCUGGGCCCCAUUUCCCCUCAGACUCGAUUCACAACAACCCCCACCCCCAUCCCACCAGGCUCCAGGCACAGGCCCCUGUUCCUGCCCCUAGUCCUUGGCAACCACGCUCUCUCUCUCUGGAAUGCUCUCCCAGCUCUUUGCAUAACUGACUUAUUCUCAACCUUGAGGUCUCCACUCCUGUAUUUUCCUCUUUAGAAAAACAUUCUCUGGCCUCCCUCCCUCCCUGAGGUGUCAGCAGCCCAGUUCCUCCCACCAUCACCCAGUCUGUUUCACCCGGAGCACUUAUCACAGUCUGUAAUUGUCUUGGUUGCUUUUUUACUUAUUUAUUGACUAUCUCCCGAACUAGACUGUCCCAGAGGGCAAGGACCGUCCUCUCUUCUUAGCUGCAUCUACAGGGCCUCACUCAAUGCCUGGAACAUGAUAAUGCUCAAUAAUUGUGUCGAGUGA